CCUCUCCCUUCUCCAUGCCUCUCCUCUUCUCUUUUCUCUUUCCCACACCUAAGGGUUGGGCAUCCCACUCUUCUACACACCAAAGGUGGAGGUGAUCUUUUUUCAAAGCGAAGAAUAAGGAGAAGAAGGCUGCAGAUCAAGAAGUUGAUUCUACAGUCAAGAUCAAGGAGUUUAUUGGUGCAAAAAUCCACCUAUGCCGGAGGAGCUGGAGUCGCGGUCGCCGUUGGGACCUGCAAAAGAAGUCUAAAUCGGAGGUGGAGUUGCUCCGGCAAGACCCUCCGACGCUCAAGUCAGUUCUCUGCCUCAACAAGAAUGGAGUGCUCGAACGAAAAUUGUAGCAGAGUUUCUAGGUAAAAAUGAGAGCUUAUAGAGUAACAUAUCUGGGGUCUCCCUUUUUAUAGGUGGAGGGGGCAACAAACUGAUAGCGAUGCCUAUAACCAUCUGGCAGUGGGCCAUCCAGAGUUAAGAAAAAUUUGUUGCGGAGAGUAGUGGAGCGGAUCCGUGGCUAUCACCGGGGCGUGCCACGUGGAGUCUGCAACGGAGAGCGGAGCGGCAUCCAUUGUUGUGACUUGCCAGAGAAUGGAAGAAUCGUGCGGUAUCCAUCGCGGGAAGUGGAGCAGGAUCGUGGUCAUUAUUACGGCCUGUCAGGGAGUGAUGGGGCCGCAUGGAAUCCGUCGC
rnacentral:lncRNA from 1 species